rnacentral:rRNA from 1 species
AUUGAACGCUGGCGGCAUGCCUUACACAUGCAAGUCGAACGGUAACAGGUCUUCGGAUGCUGACGAGUGGCGAACGGGUGAGUAAUACAUCGGAACGUGCCCGAUCGUGGGGGAUAACGGAGCGAAAGCUUUGCUAAUACCGCAUACGAUCUACGGAUGAAAGCAGGGGACCGCAAGGCCUUGCGCGGACGGAGCGGCCGAUGGCAGAUUAGGUAGUUGGUGGGAUAAAAGCUUACCAAGCCGACGAUCUGUAGCUGGUCUGAGAGGACGACCAGCCACACUGGGACUGAGACACGGCCCAGACUCCUACGGGGGGCAGCAGUGGGGAAUUUUGGACAAUGGGCGAAAGCCUGAUCCAGCCAUGCCGCGUGCAGGAUGAAGGCCUUCGGGUUGUAAACUGCUUUUGUACGGAACGAAAAGCCCCUUUCUAAUAAAGAGAGGUCAUGACGGUACCGUAAGAAUAAGCACCGGCUAACUACGUGCCAGCAGCCGCAGUAAAAC